UGAAUGGCGAAGCUAUGUCAAAUCUUGACCUAAAAUCCUAAUUCCAAUUUCAUUUUGGAUCCUAAUGCUCAUUGGGCACCUUGAGAAUGUGUGAUCAUUGAUUUUGUGUUGUGGGUGGUGCUUACUGUGGUUUAGAAGUGAAGGGUGGUAAGCUGCCGUGGCGGUCUCAGUUAUUCAACUUUGAAGGAGCAUUGCGCAUGCCUCAGGUAUUGGAUUGCCACACAGAUUCUUGGAACAGGAGCGUCUUCAAGUUAGGUUUCUAACCAAGCAAAAAUCAUCAGAAUUAAAGCUGAUACAAAUGGUUGGCAAAUUUUGGAGUAGAAGGGAGUUGCUGCCCUAAAUUCUUAGUCGUUAUCAAGGUGCCCUCUCUUCAUCCCUCUUAGUUUUUAUUUACAGCAACUCGUAACUUCCAUAAUAACUUGGUGUUUUAACAAUAACAAGUAAUGAUUGGAUUAAAAUUUGAAUAAUGGUCUUACUUUUAAAUUCACCUAGUCAAGUCACUUUUUAUGAAGUAAAACAAACGUCCAACUAGUGGAGGUUUAUUUGGGUUCAUAGCAUUAUUGUGAUUUUUUUUUAGAGGUGUAUUGGUUGGUUGUUGUAUUACUCUAGAAUUUUAGAUUCUAUUAUUGUGGAUGAUCAAACUAGUCUUAAUGAUUUUGGUGAGCUCCUAAUAUACACUACUUCUUCCAACUUCCAUUUAACAAGUUUAAGAUUUUAUAAUUCGUGUGUCUACAAUAGAUUUUACUUCCUUAUUUAUUACUUAUUUUACUUGUCUUUUUUUCUUAUGUAUCUUGGAAUCAAGAUGGUCCUUUGUUAAUUACUUGCAAGAUGAAUCUUUAAAGAUUGCAUCUCUUAGUUGUAUUUUCUAAAAAAUUUUAUGCAGAGUAUUGAAAAAAAUACCUUGAUAUUUAUGCUUCUUAAGCAAAUUAUAAGCAUAAUGUGACAAGAUAUAAUGGAGCUGUUUCUAUAAGUUUUUUGUCACAAAUAGAAGCCAAUCGUAUCUACAAAAUUAAUAUAUUUUCAAGUUUAGUGGCUUGUAAGAUUUAGUAGCUUGUGCCAAUUUUUAAACUUGAUGAUGGAUAAAGCUUUUAUAAAUAUCUUAGUAGGUUUUUAAUGUGUUGGUAUAUAUGAAACUUCAAUUUUCUUCUUUUUUAUCAUGUCUUAGACAUAGUUUAAGUGAAUCUCAAAGUACUUUGUUUUAAAAUUAUACAUGGAAUUUUUGGCUA